rnacentral:rRNA from 1 species
UACAGAGGUCCCAAGCGUUGUUCGGAUUCACUGGGCGUAAAGGGUGCGUAGGCGGUCGGGUAAGUCUGAUGUGAAAUCUCACAGCUUAACUGUGAAACUGCAUUGGAUACUAUCCGGCUCGAGGAAUGGAGGGGAGACUGGAAUACUUGGUGUAGCAGUGAAAUGCGUAGAUAUCAAGUGGAACACCAGUGGCGAAGGCGAGUCUCUGGACAUUUCCUGACGCUGAGGAGCGAAAGCCAGGGGAGCAAACGGG